GACGAACGAGGGCGGAGGGAGGAACACAGGAAAGUCGAACUGACAGGCCCUGCUUUUGUAGGGUGCUCGAGUGGCGAACGGGUGAGUAACACGUGAGUCACCGGUACUUGACUUUGGGAUAACUUCAGGCACCUGGGGCUAAUACCGGAUAGGAGCUCCUGCUGCAUGGUGGGGGUUUGUAAGUUUCGGCGGUUGGGGAUGGACUCGCGGCUUAUCAGCUUGUUGGUGGGGUAGUGGCUUACCAAGGCUGGGAGGGGGCGCCGGCCUGAGAGGGUGACCGGCCACAUUGGGACUGAGAUACGGCCCAGACUCCUACGGGAGGCAGCAGUGGGGAAUAUUGCACAAUGGGCGGAAGCCUGAUGCAGCAACGCCGCGUGCGGGGUCACCGACUGCGGUUUGUAAACCGCUUUCGCCUGUGACGAAGCGUGAGUGACGGUAAUGGGUAAAGAAGCACCGGCUCCCUACGUG
rnacentral:rRNA from 1 species